AUUGAACGCUGGCGGCAGGCCUAACACAUGCAAGUCGAGCGGUAGAGAGAAGCUUGCUUCUCUUGAGAGCGGCAGACGGGUGAGUAAUGCCUAGGAAUCUGCCUAGUGGUGGGGGAUAACGUUCGGAAAGGGGUGCUAAUACCGCAUAAGCUCACGCGCUGUAGAGGCGUGCGAGAAAAGGCGAAAGUCGCUUUUGGAGGAGGCUGCGGCCCAUCAGGUAGUUGGUGCGGUAAGAGCGCACCAAGCCGACGACGGGUAGGGGACCUGAGAGGGUGAUCCCCCANACUGGGACUGAGACACGGCCCAGACUCCUACGGGAGGCAGCAGUGAGGAAUAUUGCCCAAUGGAGGAAACUCUGAGGCAGCGACGCCGCGUGGGUG
rnacentral:rRNA from 1 species